GACGUAGGGGGCGAGCGUCACCCGGAGUCACUGGGCGUAAAGGGCGUGUAGGCGGCUGGGCGCGCCGCGUGUGAAAGCCCGCGGCUCAACCGAGGAAGUGCAUUCGAAACUGCCGUUCUUGAGUGUCGGAGAGGGUGGUGGAAUUCCCGGUGUAGAGGUGAAAUUCGUAGAUAUCGGGAGGAACACCAGUGGCGAAGGCGACCACCUGGACGAACACUGACGCUGAGGCGCGAAAGCGUGGGGAGCAAACAGG
rnacentral:rRNA from 1 species